UACAGAGGUGGCAAGCGUUGUUCGGAAUUACUGGGCGUAAAGGGCGCGUAGGCGGCCCGUCAAGUCCCGUGUGAAAGCCCCCGGCUCAACCGGGGAACUGCACGGGAAACUAGCAGGCUUGAGUUCGGGAGAGGGAAGCGGAAUUUCGGGUGUAGCGGUGAAAUGCGCAGAUAUCCGAAGGAACACCGGUGGCGAAGGCGGCUUCCUGGACCGACAUUGACGCUGAGGAGCGAAAGCUAGGGGAGCAAACGGG
rnacentral:rRNA from 1 species